UGGGGAAUCUUGCGCAAUGGGCGAAAGCCUGACGCAGCCAUGCCGCGUGGAUGAUGAAGGUCUUAGGAUUGUAAAAUCCUUUCACCGGGGACGAUAAUGACGGUACCCGGAGAAGAAGCCCCGGCUAACUUCGUGCCAGCAGCCGCGGUAAUACGAAGGGGGCUAGCGUUGCUCGGAAUUACUGGGCGUAAAGGGCGCGUAGGCGGGUCGUCAAGUUGGGGGUGAAAGCCCGGGGCUCAACCUCGGAAUUGCCUUCAAAACUGACGACCUAGAGUAUGGCAGAGGUGUGUGGAACUCCGAGUGUAGAGGUGAAAUUCGUAGAUAUUCGGAAGAACACCAGUGGCGAAGGCGACACACUGGGCCAUUACUGACGCUGAGGCGCGAAAGCGUGGGGAGCAAACAGGAUUAGAUACCCCGGUAGUCC
rnacentral:rRNA from 1 species